AACGAACGCUGGCGGCAUGCCUAACACAUGCAAGUCGAACGAGACCUUCGGGUCUAGUGGCGCACGGGUGCGUAACGCGUGGGAACCUGCCCUUAGGUUCGGAAUAACUCAGAGAAAUUUGAGCUAAUACCGGAUAAUGUCUUCGGACCAAAGAUUUAUCGCCUUUGGAUGGGCCCGCGUAGGAUUAGCUUGUUGGGGGGGUAAUGGCCUACCAAGGCGACGAUCCUUAGCUGGUCUGAGAGGAUGAUCAGCCACACUGGGACUGAGACACGGCCCAGACUCCUACGGGAGGCAGCAGUGGGGAAUAUUGGACAAUGGGCGAAAGCCUGAUCCAGCAAUGCCGCGUGAGUGAUGAAGGCCUUAGGGUUGUAAAGCUCUUUUACCAGGGAUGAUAAUGACAGUACCUGGAGAAUAAGCUCCGGCUAACUCCGUG
rnacentral:rRNA from 1 species